GUAUAUCAUCUUUUGUACUUGAUGAUUAUAGAUGUUUAAAUGAAAGAAUAUGAAUGAUGUAAAAGAGUUUAUAUUUAAUGCAAAGAGUUAUAUUUUUGGGAUAUCAUGUGAUGUAUAAAGAGAAGAAAUGAUGUUAAAGAAAAGAGUGUAAAUGUAACUUGUGAUUGAAUGCAUAUAUGUGGUUAAAAGUUAAUCAUAUUACUUGUAUGAUGUUUAGUUUAGUACUUUUACUUUGGCUAUCGCUUGCCCUCGUGCAAGCCAAGUAUAUUUAUGUUUCCGCUGUGCAAAAAUUAUAUACUUACUCUAUACUUGUUGUUGAGCCUUGGGCGGACAGGGAAGGUGCUGUCCGUUCGGCGUCUAUUCGACGUGCUCGAACCGGCCAAAUAGGAUUGGGUUCGGGGCGUGACAGUAGAAGUACCCCGAGUUAGCCUAGCUUAGGGGUAUGGAAAUGAAAAAAGAGAAAGAAACAAAUUGUAUUAACAGUUGGUUGUAUUUGGAAGCAAAAAGUAAAAAGAUUCAAAAAUGAAUGUAAUGGUUUGUAAUGAGCUGAAUGCUUGUAAUAGUUUAGCAGUUAUGUUUUGCAUACCUACCUUAUGCAACUUUUGUAUGAAAUAUGUUCCUGUUUGAAACCUCGUGAUUUGUACUAUUGCGACGUCUUGGACGUACAGGAAAAACUCUAUCCGUUCGGCGGUCUGUCGGCGCGCCCGAAUCCGACCAAAGAGGCGAGUCUCAGGGCGUGACACC
rnacentral:lncRNA from 1 species